AAAGAAGUCGACCGACAUCUUAACUGGCAACAGGGUAAAACGAUAAAAUGUUGAAAUCAAAAACAUCACUCGAAUGAAAUCUCGUGAAUAGCCACAGCCAGAGAUCUUCGUAAAUCGUAGUGACUAAUUAAACGGAAAACUUAAAAAUCUGGAGGGACUAAUUGAACGGACCUUUACAUUCAAAUGUAAUUUACACUUCUUCAUGUGAAUACUUUCAGUGCCGCAUCAAAAACAUACACAAUCGCGCUGGUGAUGGACGACCUGGAGCGGUAUCUGUUACAUCGAACCGUAAUGCUAUUCAUUAUGCAAAACUACCUGCAGCGGGGGCUGUCGCUGGUGCUGCUGCUGCUGCUGCUGAGUUGCCUUUCGUUGCUGUCGAGCUGCGCUAAUUAAUUUAAAUGAACGAAUAGCAUGGAACCCAUUAUGUCGAGCGAUAUAUCAAACCGAGAGAAAGACUGAAGCACUCCACUCUAAAACCGUGGCUCGUCGCUUCAUCCGCGCUGCGUUCCUGCGUUGCGUUGUGAUACCCAUCCCGGCAUCUUCCAUCCACCGACCGUGCGCCGCAUCAUACCGAACCAGAGUAGAUACACAAAUAAAUAUGAAAA